CCUAUAAAUACAUUUUCGACACCCUCAAACGUUCUUUCUCAAGUGUGCGCCGGUUGUGUGGAGAGACAUUGAUCUACACACGAAAGAUAGUCGUGCUCCAUUUGAGGGGGAAGUAGUUAAACACCAACACAGCUGAUCUUUUGAGAAAUGAGGUACUACAGAAGACCAUGGGCCAACUGGGCUUCCUCACUGCCCUGGCCUUCAGCGGUAAUAUAGCAACACAAUGUUUGAGAUGCUACCAAGAAUGGCCUCCUGAUCCGAGACUGGGUAAACAUGAGCAGGGCUUCAACAACAGGUCACGGUGAUGGCAGAAACAUGGCUCAAGAACUUAACAGUGAAUCCCUCGGUGAUAAACAGAGCUGAUGUUCAGACACUUAACAUCCUGGCUGUUCUCCAGGUUUAAGCUUCAACAAAGAAUGGCCUUCUGAUCCCAGACCAGAGCUUCGACAACAGCCGAAUUAAUCUUCAAGGGAUGACUUCAGGAUCCGCAGCAUUUCACUAUAAGAAAUGGCAAGAUUGUGCAGCUGCGAGGACACCUGUUAACCCUAAGCAGCUGUCACUCACCCUGGAAUAUAAAUAACUGUUGCUUCUGAGAAUUGUACAACUAAAAUCAGCUCCCAGUACUGCAACAUACGCUGCCAAAAAAAACACUUAAUUGUCAGAGUAUAACAGUCUGUUAAACUUCAGAGAUAUCAGUCUAUUUAGGAAGCACAAGUAAUGGUGAAUCAAUUUCACCUGAUUUGAUGCAACUGAAAAUUGCAACCGGUGUAAUGGAGAGGUAAAAGCAAGACAACUCCCAAGAAGGUAGUAUGUUGUGGUCCUCGUGGUCCCUCAAUUUAAAUACUAUUGAGAACCAAUGGGGCAUUAUGUAUCAUGUAUACACUCCUGCCAAGUACUGCCCCAGAGUGUCCAGUAGGUCAUUGAUGCCCUUAUCCAGGUCUGGGAGGAGAUCCCGAGGACACAAACCGCCAACUCAACAGGAGCAGGCCCAGAUGUCAGGACUGUAUACAGGCAGGCGGAGGCCAUACACACCUCUGUCCCAUUAUGAGUAGUGGCAGCUUGUGGUUUAAAUGUUGACUUUCACUGUGGUUUUGAAUCAGUCUGUCAAUGUGAAGAUUUUUGUUCAUCAAGAUCUGAUGUGUGCUAUAAGUUUUCCCUUAUUUUUUUAAUGUAGCAGUUUAUUUAACCUGAUUGUAUGUGUACUCAAUAAAGUAUCAUAACCCAAGUCACACUGUCUUUUAUAUGUAUGUGUUAAAGGCUGUAGUUGUACACUUCCCACAUAGUUUAGAGCCAAUUUACGAUAUACAGAGAUGCUAUGGUAAACUAUAGCUUCACUGAAUAUGAACAAGAGCCAUGCCAAAGAUUUUCUUCAAUCUGCACAGGAUAGAAGGAUAUUGGCAUUUUACUUAAAAAUUGUACAUUUGGGCACCACAGAUUGUGGCUGUAGUAAAUAUUAUGAUUUUUAAAGAUCUACUGAAGAUCCCACUGACUCCAAUGGUGCAGACAUAUCCAGCUCUACACUUGUAACACCAUAAAAUCCACAAAGCAGUAUUAUUUCAUUAACAGUGACCUGAGAAGGGGCCAUUUUAUUGGGUCAAAAUAAUCUCAAUGCCAAUUUUUGGGAGAAUCUUCAGCUUUUAUCUUUAUCCUUUACCCAGUAAAUCCUAAAACAUAUGACCUAAUGGUCUCUUAAAACAGGUUGUUCAUUGCACAUUAAAGCACCCACCUGCAGCUGUUGGAUUUGUGAGUCCCUUCCCCAGCUGACUCACUGGCUGAUGACCCUGCACCCACUCUCCAUUGGUUUUACGGAGCUGUUUACGGAUUGCCUCCCAAGGAAAUAACUAUCUCCCCAAUCAAAAUGCAGUUAGUAGUUACUACCUGUUCCCAGAGCACUUUGUUAUUCUAUGGGGGGCCAUUCAGGGUUCAGCAUCUUGCCCAAGGUAACUUCGGCAUGCAGAUGGGUCACACUGGGGAUCGAACUGCCUACCUUCAGGUUGGAGGAUGACCACUCUACCCCUUAGCCACAGCCGCAGAUCCAGGGCCUCUGU